AGUGAACGCUGGCGGUAGGCCUAACACAUGCAAGUCGAACGGCAGCACAGUAAGAGCUUGCUCUUACGGGUGGCGAGUGGCGGACGGGUGAGGAAUACAUCGGAAUCUACUUUUUCGUGGGGGAUAACGUAGGGAAACUUACGCUAAUACCGCAUACGACCUACGGGUGAAAGCAGGGGAUCUUCGGACCUUGCGCGAUUGAAUGAGCCGAUGUCGGAUUAGCUAGUUGGCGGGGUAAAGGCCCACCAAGGCGACGCUCCGUAGCUGGUCUGGGAGGAUGAUCAACCACACUGGAACUGAGGCACGGUCCAGACGCCUCCGGGACGCAGCAGUGGGUAAUAUUGGACAAAGGGCGCAAGCCUGAUCCAGCCAUACCGCGUGGGUGAAGAAGGCCUUCGGGUUGUAAAGCCCUUUUGUUGGGAAAGAAAAGCAGCAGGUUAAUACCCCGCUGUUCUGACGGUACCCAAAGAAUAAGCACCGGCUAACUUCGU
rnacentral:rRNA from 1 species